AUGAGUCUUUCCGCUGAUUUGUCUUCGUGGAAAAAUUUACUAUUUUUCAAAAUGUUCACAAAACAUUCUUUUACCUCAAAUUUGUCGGCUUUUUUUCAAUCAUUUCAUGACCCUCUUUACAUUGUUUUUGAAAACAAAACACGUACAAGUUUACAAACGAUUGGCAUAAAUCUUCAAAAUUUAUCGAGCUACGGUUUUUCCUUAUCUCUAGCUUUUGAUGAUGUACAACGUGCUCAUUUAUCUAUUCUAAAGAUCCUCACGUAUCACAACGAACGUGAAAUCAGAAAACCGUUUGAUAAAACCUGUCGUGUUGACGAAAUGAGUUUUCCAUUUGUUUCAAAUGAAAAAAACAAUGUGAAAAAGUGUCUAGAUUCUUCAAGUCUCAAUUUAGCUAAAGCUAGUGAAUCGAUAUUGAGACUUCUUGUAGGUCUAUGUCUAUAUGAAAAAAUUAAUUAUGUCCAGGGUUUUUUGCAUAUUCUUUUAAAUUUGUGUUAUUUAUAUCCAUGUCCUUUAUAUGAUAUUGAUUCUGCUUUUUAUUUAUUUCAUGAAUUUCUCUAUCUAGCAUCUCCUCAUUUAUUGCACUCAGAGACCAGUAAAGGAACCAGCUGUAAAUCACAACGAACGUUAUGUUUAUUAUUUCACCAGUUAGUUCAAUAUCAUUUUCCUUCCGUCGCGUAUCACAUUGAUAGAUUUCAUGACACAGUGUUUUGGAAUUUACACUGGUUUGAUUGCCUGGGAACAACAUGUUUUUCUGAUCCUUUGGUUUGGUUAGAUGUUUGGUAUAAUUUAAUACAUCUCUUUUUUCAUCGAUUGAAAAACGUUUCCGUAGCCGAGUUUCACGAUUCCCGCAUCAAACUGCGGAACAACAAUUUUUGUCAGAAUGCUAUGUAUUGUGAAUGGUUUUUUUUUACUCUUGCAGUAAUAAGUCAUUUUUAUCAACAUGAAAGUGAACAAAAAAGUAAUUAUUUUAAAAUUGGAGAACGCGUGGCACAAAAAUUAUGUGCGUUCAAUGAAUCGGAUACCGUUGAAACAUGGGAUCACCUGUGGUUGGUUUCCCAAAAAAAAUUAAUGAGACAUUAUGAUCCUGAACGUAAGGACCCCCUUGAUAAUAGAGCAGCUUUAGGUAGCAACUUUGGUAGCAAUACACAAGAUUCAAUUCCUACUCAUAUACAAUCGAUGUUCUCUUUAAGAUUUAAAACUCCACCUUUCUGGUUAUGGCGUUUGGCUGGUCAUGUACCUAAAAAUUAUUUAAAUUUUUGUCAAAAUUAUCUUACACCUCUUUUGGACUAUAGUAGUUUUUAUUGUUUACCAAUUUUUUGGAAAGAAUUAACUUUUUGGCAAACAGUAGUUGAGGAAGGAGAAACUUCUUCAACAAAGGAAUCAUGUGGUUUUUCUCCAGAUACCUUAGACUCCCGAUCGAUUGAAUGUUGCUCUUAUUCAUUGGAACAUUUAUCAAAGGCUCAACUCUCUACAAACGCAGCAAGUGUUGAAAAUUACUCGCAUGAAAACGUUGUCAAUUCGUCCGGUAAAUAUAAAAUAGGUCAUGAAAUGACUUUAGAAAAGGAUAUAAGGGCACGAAUUCAGGUUGAUGAUACUCUCUUGGAAGAAUAUUGGUCGUCUUUUUUCGGAAUGCGGAGCUUUCAACGUAGUAAACAACCACUGUUUUCAAAAGUUAUAUUGAUACCUUUUGAUAUAAGUGUUUCUUCUUGUUAUCCCAUUAAUACGCCCAUUGGUCGUUCUGAAGAUGUUAUAGAGUCCUCGCUAAACGUUUCAUAUGUCACAAUUUUGACACCUUCUCGACCCGAAUCAAAGGUUUUUCGCGGAUUUCAACGUUUGUGUACUUCUGUAAAUCAAGAGUCAAAAGGCGAUUCUCACAUACAACCAUGUUGGUUAUCCUAUUCGUUAGAUACAACCAUAGCAUUACUACGUCAAUGGAUUCAAGUUAAUUCGAUUUCCACGCCUCUUUUCGUCAUUGGAAAUCCAAUGUCUUCUACUAACUUGAACCAAUAUAUGUCCUCUUCUUUAAUUCAAGAUGGUGUAAUUCAGGUUGUGCAAAAACUUAACGUGAACUCUCUUGCCACCGCCUGGUUAUCUUAUAAUAUCGAGCCACAUCCCUGUCAAAUUAGUUUUUUCCUAAGAUGUAUGGAAUCCGGUAUCAAAUAUAUUACUUUAUGCCCUGAUUUUUCUUCAAAUUCCGAUCAAGUGAUCUUUCUUAUUCGAAGAAUUUUAAGUCAUUUUUACACUCACAAAUGCAUACAAACACCAUCCUCUUUGUUUAGACGUCGAAUAGUAAAAAAGCCCUUAAGUGUUCCCAACAUUAGUGCCCGUUUAAAAAAUUGUUCCAGUGUUAAAAGUUGGCUUCCAAAAAAAGCAUCUGAGGUUCUAUUCGCACCUCAAUGUAAAAAACAACCAAACAAUCUUACACUUGGUGAAUCAAAGAGUAUCAAAUCAGCCCUUCCAUUUCAAAAACAUAUGUUUGUGCGUCGAGUUAAAAUGAAUCAAAAAAAAAUGUCUAAACCAAAAGAGCUAGAUCCAUUAACCAAAGAUUCUUCUUUAGUCCGCAAUACUACCAUAUUUUCUUGGCUUCAAUCUUUCUUUCAAAAAAAACAAGAAAUAUCACAGGAGAACAUUAUUUUUUCUCCACUUGAGCAAUGCCCGAAAAUUACACAAACGUGCGCCUCACCUUCCCAAUAUCGUGAUUUAUGUACUAGUGUAAACAAGUACCGUAAAAUGAUUAGAACUCCUUCAAAAAAAAACACGUUCCUUACUACGCAGUUUUACUAUAAAAAGAAACAGUUUAAAAAAAAAGAAUACUUUGCUUCUUGGUGGAAAGCAAGGAAAAAGUAUGUCAUCAAUCAUAGAAACCUCCAUUUAUUUCUACCAUAUUCGAAAUACAAGCAAUUUUUUCUUCUUGAAACUCUAAAAUGGGAAACCAAAUCCACUCUUGAUCAAGAUAAUCUCAAUAAUGUAUUUUUUGUGUCGGCUACGGAUAAUUUUACGAGAAAAAAAAUAAAUUCUUCCCAAUCUACUGCGUCGCUUUCUGCUCUUUCAAAAAUUGUGUUGUGGGAACGAAUUGGGUCAACAGACAGCAUUGCUAAUGUACCCCCACUUGAAGAGCGGAUUCAACAAAUCGUAAAUUCUUCCCUUCUCAAAACCUCCGUUCAAACGUUUUCCCCUUUAAUAGCGUUUUUUCGUAAACACUUCUUAGGGUGUAAUGACACGCUACUGUUUAGUUCACAUAACCGGACGUGUUGCAGUGGAGGUCAGCCUGAAAAGACACCUCAUCCAUUAAACUAUGCAAGGAAUUUGUUUUUCUACCAUCACGAAUCUUCUGUUCUCAUAAUGAAUGCAACAUGUCACUUUAUUUAUGAAACAAGGCUUUUCUGUCAAAUACUUUAUUUUCUUUUUCAAACGCUAUCCCAUGCUCGUGAAACAUCCCAAAGAAUAAUGUUAUAUAUUACAAAAAAAGAUAUUCACAAAUUUUCACAACGUUUCCGUUAUCUUAUGAUAGAAAAUUGUUCGCAUAUGUCAAAUGAUCUUUAAUAACAAAGGAUUCACGUCAGAAAGAGGAUUGAAAAUUAAUACUCUUAUAUUCAGUUGAACUUGUAUGACAAGAAGAAUCUUUUUUUUUGUUUUUAAAUUAAUGAAAGACACAAAAGAUAUCCUACAAUAUAUUUCGAUCACUAUUAACUUUCACCGUUUCUUUUUCCAAUUGUUACAAUUUUACAAUAACUCUUAAAAUUAAUGGAUUUUUUAUCGUUUCAAUUUUAAUUCUAAUUCUUUAAUUUCUGCUCUAAUGAUAAUGCAUAUUAAACAAAUUGUAUUAUCAUCAAAAUAGCGUUAUCUUAUUUGCUUCUCCGUACUGGCAAGAGUAAAAAUUUGUAGCACAGAUUUAUUUAUAUUAUUUAAUCUCUAAAAAAAACCGGGAGUUGACAUAUUAGUCAAAUAAAUUGUUUUUGGAAAAAGGAAAAAAAAUUAUGAGAAUAUUUUUUAUAUUACAAAUUAGCUUAAUUUUAUGUGACCUCUGUUUAACGUGUUUCUGUUGGCAAAAAAAACCGUAUGCUCGGAAUAAUUUUGUUCAAUUAAAUCAUCGUAUGUUUAGUACGAUUCGCUAAUCCAACAAUUUGCAAAACUUCAAUUUUCAUGACAAUAGAAAUGAAACCAUGGCGUCCAGGAAACUUUAAUAUGCCCAAGCCUUCUGAUAAGAGUGAACCCGGUAACUUUUUUUUAUUUAUUGAAAUACGUGAAGCAAUUUUUAUUAUGGGAACGUUAAUUUGAAAGAGAAAAAUACUGACAGCGAUGACUCGAAUUUGCCCACAAUCAAUGUCCAUUAUGACUAUAAGCCUACGGAUUGGAUUGCUGAAGGUCAUAAAAUUAAUCGUGCAAACAAUUGAAAUGCAAAGAGAAUUGGAGCUAGCAACCGAACAAUACUAUUUGAAUGCUGAACGACUCAGAAAAUCAAUUCUUCAAAGAAAGUAUAUACUUAAUGAGCUAUUGCAACAAUUAGCGACAAUGCAUUCUCAAAACCAAAAAAGUAUUCCCAAAGACUUACUGAUAGGUAGUAUUGCAAGCGACCCCCUGAAAAUGAGUAAAAUUAAGAACGAUGUUGUGAAGGAAUGGAAAAAAUAUACACCUUUAUCGAAGAAAACAAAAUUUUUAAAGGGGCGCCAGAUAGAAAAUAGUUUUGAACUAACAAACUAUCCUUUAUAUCAUUUCAAUAAUAUCUACGCGCAUUUUUCCGACCAAUAUACAACAAGUUGAUUUGAUACCUUUUUUGAAAUUAUAUUUUCCAAGGUUACGAUUUGUUUCAUGCACUUGAGCAUUCAGUGGAUUUUUUUAACAAUGUUUUAUUUUAUUUUUUUACUUAUUAACGAAGAAAUUAUUUAUAGUGAACGAGUGUAAUUGCGUAGGUUGCUUCCUUAAACAAUAAUUUCAUCAACCAAAAAAGUCGAUUUGUACUUAUUUUUAUACAAGACAACAAAAGAAGGAGUAUCGUUAAUUGUUCUACUUU